rnacentral:rRNA from 1 species
CGCGUAAGCGGCUUGGCAAGUCAGAUGUGAAAGCCCCGGGCUUAACCCGGGAAUUGCAUCUGAAACUGCUUUGCUUGAGUCCUGGAGGGGGUAGUGGAAUUCCCAGUGUAGCGGUGAAAUGCGUAGAUAUUGGGAGGAACACCUGCGGCGAAGGCGGCUACCUGGACAGUGACUGACGCUGAGGCGCGAAAGCUAGGGGAGCGAACG